ensembl:lncRNA
AAUUCCUCUGUGCAGAAAAAAUGGCACCCAUUGACAUUUAUUGAUGUUUGCUGAACUCUCUGGAGACAAAAUAGUGGACGUGAGCACAGUGAAGAGGUGGGUGGUGCAAUUUGGCAGUGGAGACAGUGACAUGAAAGACAAGCCUCGUUCCAGACAGCUGUGUACAGCUGUCACACUGCAAAAUGAAGAGUAUCUCCAUAAGCUCAUCUGUGAAAAUUGGCUAAUAGUGGUGACCAUGCUGGAAAAAUAGUGUUUGUUGCUGAGGGAUUCCCUCUAUCAAAUAUUGUUAUUUUGUUCUUUGUAUCUGUUGCAGUUUCCACAGAAACAAAUAGGAAGCAUUACUUUUGGAAUGACCUACAUUUGUAAUCAUUAUUUGGGCCCAGUUCUGAGUUCAAUAGAAGACACAGUCUGGGAAAGCACAUGCUGUUCAGAGGCUUAAUGGCAAUUCUCUAGGAUCCUGACAUUUCAAGAAAUAGCGUAUCAAGAAUGCAGAAGCCAAAGGAGUUCCUGCACAUUUCAAACAGAAGAUAAUAUAUGAUCCUGGGAUGUAUCUUCAUAGGCCCACUGCCCACCUGUAUGAGUAUUUUUAUAGUCUUCAGCCAACCCUGAGCCAGCAGUUUUCCACCUUUCUGUCAAAAACAUUUUUUGAGUAAACAUUGCAAGACAAAAGUAUGUUUGACUAGAGUCACUCAAGCUCCAUCUGAAGAGGUAAAUUACGUCUUCAUUGUGAAAUGACAAAGGUAAAAGAGAGAGGCACAAGUGUGAGUGAGGGUGACGGUUAUUUCUCCCUGUUUGUGGGUGACUACAAAGGAUUCUCUCCUCACAGCACCCACUAAACUGAGCUGUAGUGGUUGAAGCCUGGUAAGUUUAUUCCUGAUCAUGCAGAAUGAUGAUGUGGGACUUGAUUUUUAUCAGAAAUGCUUAUAGAGUAAACUCGUGAAUCUGUGUAAGUGUUCAGGAAGAAAUUAAGGGUAACAGAAAUGUAG